rnacentral:tRNA from 2 species
GGAUGAGUGGCUGAGCGGUUUAAAGCGCUGGCCUUGAAAGUCAGAGUAUUCCUUUAGAAUACCGUAGGUUCGAAUCCUACCUCAUCCG